CAGCUGGAGACAGCUGGGACAGUGUCUCACCCACAGUCUCCUCACCAGCGUGGCAUUACAAAAAGCAGAAAAGGCCUUGGCUCUGUGUAUUCCCUGUUCAGCAAAGAGAAAAGAACAUCUCUGUAUUAACAACCCUCUGUUCAGUGCAAAUCCAAAACACAGCCCCGUACCAACCACUAUGAAGAAAUUUAACUCAAUGCCAAUGAAAACCAGUGGCAAUAGUGUCAUAUUCUUUCGUGCAAGUGGAAAUUUUGGAACGCUGGUGUUGACGUUAUGAAGACCAUACCACCCUGUUUCCCCUCUGUAGAAGCUGUCAGUGUGCUCUUCAAGUGCUGACUUGGCACACCUACAUACACCCUCCCACCCUCAACUUUGACUGCAUUAUUAUAGAAAUGCUUCAGGCACUGGGGCUUCUCCCUGUGUGUACUGAAAAUAGUAGUACUGGUCUUGUUUGUCACUGACCAAAGACCCAGGAAAGUACAAGGAGAAAAAAGGCAGCAAAGAGGAGGUGCAGAACUGCCUCUAGUUUGAAGGUACAUUUUGAGAAUCAUAAAUGUUAAAUGUGCUGCAGAAGAGACCCUGACUGCACUGAUGUAUUUCCCUUGGACCUCUGUGGGCUUGGGAAGAAUAGGGUUACAUGCAAACGACUCUUGACAGGCACUGACAGGAGCUGACAAGGAAAAGGUGACAUGGGUACUUCAGGUUCUUGUUGCCACAUCCUUCUGCAAGGCGAGAGGAAAGGCUCUUUACUGAUAAAAUCUGCAUUCUCUUUGGUCACCUCACACUGUGAUGUGGUACAAAGUCAUCUGCCUUCCUGGGGCUGCAGUCGGCAAAUCCAGCCUGGAGCUGGCUGGAGGCCAAUGUGGGACUGGGCUGAAGUCAGACCUCUGCUUGGUGACAGUUCAGGAUAGGCUCCUGCUGAUUCUGGGCUGACAAAAAUUGCACAAUCUCCUGUGCAUCUCUUCCCUUCUGAUCCCUUGUGAGCUGAGCAAGUGGUUCCCAGAGUGAGAAAAAAAUAGCAAUAUGUUUUGAAGAGCUCUUAAAGAGUUUUAUUUUUUACAUUGCUUGCAAGCUACUGCUGUGCUUAUUUGCCUAUCAAUUCAUUUUCUCUUUGCUGGUACAUUUACUCUAUAUUUAGCACAUUUUAAGAGGACAACUAGAUUGUACAGACAGAAAAUCACACAGUAGGGUCUUAUUUACUAUACUCUAAUAACUGUGUUCAUAAAUCCAACCUCUCUCUGGAACACUCAUAUACCUGUCUUUUCUUUCUCCCCUUUGAUUCCUGCCCUUGCCUCUCUGUUGACAGCAGGCAGUAGGAGUUGCACUCAGUACCUCUGAAUAUUAUGGUCCAUUUACUUAAAUGUGGAUGCUGAUAUUAAAUUUAGGGCAUCCAAGUUUGACUCUUUUGUCUUACUUACAUUUUUGUGGUGGUCUGUUUUUUAUACAUUAACAGUGAAAGACAUUUCUGUGAUAUUAAGAUUUAUGCCAGGCAGGAAACCUGAGAGUGGAUGUUUAUCUGAAAUGCAGUUUCCUUGGUUAUCUGAGUUUUGAAGGGGUCUUUAUAUGUUAAAAUGCACUUAGACUAGCAGGUGAUGAUGUAUUGAAAGCCUUUGCUGAAAAAAUAUUUUGUAGGAUGUUUUUAAGGACAUACACCUAAUUUUAACUUUUAUAAUUUAUAGCACUACAAUUUUAUAAAAAUUGUAAUAAAAUCUACAUUGUAUAAUUAGAAAUUAAAUGCUACGUUAAAACAAUAUGCAAUUUAUUCAAAUAUUUAUUAGAUGUCUUUAAAAAAUUACUAUACUACACAGAUCACCUGGCAUAUAGUAAAAUUAGGAAUUAUGAAAAUCAAACAUUUUUGUUGAAUUCAAACUUCUUGUAACUAGAGUUAUUACGAGGUGAGGCAGAGAGAACUCAUAGAAUGGUUUGAGUUGGAUUCCACAGAAUGGAUUGAGUUAAAGUUCAUCAAGUUCCGACCUCCCUGCCAUGGGCAGGGACACCUUCCACUAGACCAGGCUGCUCAGAGCCCCAUCCAGUCUUGCCUUGAACACUUCCAGGGAUGAGGCAGCCACAGUUUCUCUGGCAAUGUGUUCCAGUGUCUCACCACCCUCACUAUAAAGAAUUUCUUCCUAACAUCCAAUCUAAACCUAUCCUUAUUCAGUUUAAAGCCAAUUCUGCCUUGUCCUGUCACUACAGGCCUUGCAAAAAGUCCCUCUCCUGCUCGCUUAGAGCCUCUUUAGGUACAAAAGGUGAUAUAUGGACCCUUGGAGCCUUCUCUUCUCCAGGCUGACCAACCCAACUCUCUCAGCAUUUCCUCACAGAAGAGGUUCCACAGCCCUGUUGAGUGUCUUAGUGGCCUCUUGUAGACUCGUUCAGUUCCAGAUGGGCCAGACUGAAAGAGCCUGAAACCAGGAUUUCAUCAUAAAGUUCUGUCACUGGUCUUAAAUGAGAAGUCCUAUACUAUUUUGACUUGUGAUCCUCUGGGGUACCCACGCUGGAGCAGCCUGUUCCUGGAGGAACUGCAGCCUCUGGAGGGAGCCAUGCCAGAGCAGUUUGUGCAGAACUGUAGCCAUGGAGAGGACUCAGCUGCAGGAGUUCAUAGAGGACUGACUUCCUUGGAAGGGACCCCACAUUGGAGCAGGGAAAGACUGUGAGGAGUCCUCCCCCUGAGGAGAAAGGAGCAGCAGAGACAAUGUGUGAUGAACUGAUCACAGCCCCCAGCCCCCUGAGAUGCUGGAAGGAAAAGGUGGAGGAAUGCGGAGUGAAGCUGAGCCUGAGAAGAAGGAAGAGGUGGUGCCAAAUAAAUGAUGAGAGAGAAAAUACUAAACCCUGCAAGGUGUUGCUAUUGCUCUGAAAUAAUUACUGCAGGAGCACUGGUGGCCACGAGAUUCUUCAAAGACAAUUGCAUCUUCUAUCUAGAAAUUAUCUCUAAAAUAUCCCAGUAAUGGAAUUCAGCAUGGUGGUUACCAGUAGGCACUGUUUUACAAGUGCAGAAGAAAACUGAUUUGGAGUGAAAUGGACUUUUCCAGACACUAUCUUUAAUAUUUAACAGGUGAUGUGAGCACUGAUUGUUGCUGCUGACACUGAUGUGAAAGCAUGGAAGAUGUAGAGCUGCUUUCCCUGUCUGCUGCUGAGAAAGUACUGGGAGCAGAACCUGGUCCUUGGUGAGCUCCAAGGGCAAGGAAACAAGGAGGUUCUUAUCCCCAAA